rnacentral:rRNA from 1 species
UACGGGGGGGGCAAGCGUUGUUCGGAAUUACUGGGCGUAAAGCGCGCGUAGGCGGCUUUGUAAGUUAGAGGUGAAAGCCCGGGGCUCAACCCCGGAACUGCCUUUAAGACUGCAUCGCUUGAAUCCGGGAGAGGUGAGUGGAAUUCCGAGUGUAGAGGUGAAAUUCGUAGAUAUUCGGAAGAACACCAGUGGCGAAGGCGGCUCACUGGACCGGCAUUGACGCUGAGGUGCGAAAGCGUGGGGAGCAAACAGG